UAAUCUGUGCAAGCAGUUCCCUGCAACUGAAGGGUGUGAGAGUGAUUUAAUCAAGGAAGUUUCAGUUCCUAGCAGCCAGAAAUUGUCUGUUGUGAAUGGAUCCACUGACUUUCCUUUCGAAAGAUCCAGUGUGGGUAGCUCUAAGAAGGUCUCAGAUGGAGUAAAAGCUGUUAAGAAAGUUGAGCAGCCCUAUGACCAAGUGGCUGUGUGUGGCCAGCUUGUUGGGAAGACAAUGGUGUUGGGACAGGACUGUCUCCAUUCUAAUUCUUUAAAUGAGCAGUCUGUGCUUCAGGGUCUGAGGACAGAUUUGGUUACUGGUGUGUCAGAGCAGAACAGUUGCUUGAGGAUGUGCGGGAGAGCAAGCAAACUCUCACCCUCAAACUCUUUGGAUUUGUGUGGUAUCACUUUAAGACAGAGUCCAGCCUUGGAAAUAAUAGCAGUUAAGGAUAUGAAAACUGGUGGACUGGCUCUGGUCUGGGGUAGUGCAAAUUACUUGCCUGGCUGGGAGGGGAAGGACUUGCUAAUAGCUGUUAGCACAGAGGGCCCACCCCAUCAGCCAGUGAAUUCUGUUAAGCAAGAGAAAUCAGGGUUUGAUCCUGCAGGACAAGGAGGAAAGAGAAAACUGAAUUUGGCAAAGGGAAGCCACAGGUUAACCCUAAAAUGCCCAAUCUCCAAUGGUAUUGAACCAAAGGUGUGGCAUGACAAACAUGAUUGUAACUGGACACUUGCAAUGGAUUUGUUGUUAUUGCUAAUGGUAAAUUUUGUAACUAACGUGUUGCUAUUACCACAAACUGUAAAAAUGUACAAUGUGCCUAAUCUUUUGGAGAAUCCCUUGAACAUGUUAAAAGGAAUACACGAGAACACACAUUAUGUUAAAAGGCCUUGUUAUACUGGUGUUUCACAGUUAAUGCCUAUAAACAGUAUUGGAACUUUUCACAGGGAAAAAGACAUUCCAGACGUAAUGUGCUGUAUGAAAAGGGAAACCGAGGCUGUCACGGAGUAUUGGGGGGACUCAGGGCCCUGCACCCCCGGCUUCCUGCGAUUCACCAUGACUCGCAGCCAGCCAGUAAAGCAGAAGGUUUAUUGGGAUGACAGGGAUACAGUCCAAGACAGGUCUUGCAGGCACAGACAACAGGGACCCCCUCAGUUAAGUCCAGCUUGGGGUCCCAGGGC
rnacentral:lncRNA from 1 species